GACGAACGCUGGCGGCGUGCUUAACACAUGCAAGUCGAACGGAAAGGCCCUGCUUUUGUGGGGUGCUCGAGUGGCGAACGGGUGAGUAACACGUGAGUAACCUGCCCUUGACUUUGGGAUAACUUCAGGAAACUGGGGCUAAUACCGGAUAGGAGCUCCUGCUGCAUGGUGGGGGUUGGAAAGUUUCGGCGGUUGGGGAUGGACUCGCGGCUUAUCAGCUUGUUGGUGGGGUAGUGGCUUACCAAGGCUUUAACGGGUAGCCGGCCUGAGAGGGUGACCGGCCACAUUGGGACUGAGAUACGGCCCAGACUCCUACGGGAGGCAGCAGUGGGGAAUAUUGCACAUUGGGCGGAAGCCUGAUGCAGCAACGCCGCGUGCGGGAUGACGGCCUUCGGGUUGUAAACCGCUUUCGCCUGUGACGAAGCGUGAGUGACGGUAAUGGGUAAAGAAGCACCGGCUAACUACGUG
rnacentral:rRNA from 1 species